rnacentral:rRNA from 1 species
UGCCAGCAGCCGCGGUAAUACGAAGGUGGCGAGCGUUGUUCGGAUUCACUGGGCAUAAAGGGCGCGUAGGCUGUCCUAUAAGCGGCGUGUGAAAGCCCGGGGCUCAACCCCGGAACUGCAUGCCGAACUGUAGGGCUAGAGGACGAGAGGGGAGUGUGGAACUCUAGGUGGAGCGGUGAAAUGCGUAGAUAUCUAGAGGAACGCCGGUGGCGAAAGCGACACUCUGGCUCGUCCCUGACGCUGAGGCGCGAAAGCGUGGGUAGCAAACAGGAUUAGAUA